rnacentral:rRNA from 1 species
AACCCCGGAUCUGCGGUGGGUACGGGCAGACUAGAGUGCAGUAGGGGAGACUGGAAUUCCUGGUGUAGCGGUGGAAUGCGCAGAUAUCAGGAGGAACACCGAUGGCGAAGGCAGGUCUCUGGGCUGUAACUGACGCUGAGGAGCGAAAGCAUGGGGAGCGAACAGGAUUAGAUACCCUGGUAGUCCAUGCCGUAAACGUUGGGCACUAGGUGUGGGGACCAUUCCACGGUUUCCGCGCCGCAGCUAACGCAUUAAGUGCCCCGCCUGGGGAGUACGGCCGCAAGGCUAAAACUCAAAGGAAUUGACGGGGGCCCGCACAAGCGGCGGAGCAUGCGGAUUAAUUCGAUGCAACGCGAAGAACCUUACCAAGGCUUGACAUGUUCUCGAUCGCCGUAGAGAUACGGUUUCCCCUUUGGGGCGGGUUCACAGGUGGUGCAUGGUUGUCGUCAGCUCGUGUCGUGAGAUGUUGGGUUAAGUCCCGCAACGAGCGCAACCCUCGUUCCAUGUUGCCAGCACGUAAUGGUGGGGACUCAUGGGAGACUGCCGGGGUCAACUCGGANGAAGGUGAGGACGACGUCAAAUCAUCAUGCCCCUUAUGUCUUGGGCUUCACGCAUGCUACAAUGGCCGGUACAAUGGGUUGCGAUACUGUGA